rnacentral:rRNA from 1 species
CUGGCUCAGAACGAACGCUGGCGGCAGGCUUAACACAUGCAAGUCGAGCGCCCUUUAGGGGGAGCGGCAGACGGGUGAGUAACGCGUGGGAAUCUACCUUUUGCUACGGAAUAACGCAGGGAAACUUGUGCUAAUACCGUAUGUGUCCUUCGGGAGAAAGAUUUAUCGGCAAGAGAUGAGCCCGCGUUGGAUUAGCUAGUUGGUGGGGUAAAGGCCUACCAAGGCGACGAUCCAUAGCUGGUCUGAGAGGAUGAUCAGCCACAUUGGGACUGAGACACGGCCCAAACUCCUACGGGAGGCAGCAGUGGGGAAUAUUGGACAAUGGGCGCAAGCCUGAUCCAGCCAUGCCGCGUGAGUGAUGAAGGCCCUAGGGUUGUAAAGCUCUUUCACCGGAGAAGAUAAUGACGGUAUCCGGAGAAGAA